UAGUCCACGCCGUAAACGAUGGACACUAGUUGUUGGACUUAUUCAGUGACUAAGCGAAAGUAAUAAGUGUCCCACCUGGGGAGUACGAUCGCAAGAUUGAAACUCAAAGGAAUUGACGGGGGCCCGCACAAGCGGUGGAGCAUGUGGUUUAAUUCGAUGAUACGCGAGGAACCUUACCAGGGCUUAAAUGUAGACUGACAGCUUUAGAGAUAGAGUUUUCUUCGGACAGUUUACAAGGUGCUGCAUGGUUGUCGUCAGCUCGUGCCGUGAGGUGUCAGGUUAAGUCCUAUAACGAGCGCAACCCCUGUUGUUAGUUGCCGGCGAGUAAUGUCGGGAACUCUAGCAAGACUGCCGGUGCAAACCGCGAGGAAGGUGGGGAUGACGUCAAAUCAUCACGGCCCUUACGUCCUGGGCCACACACGUGCUACAAUGGUAGGUACAGAGAGCAGCCACUGCGCGAGCAGGAGCGAAUCUAUAAAACCUAUCUCAGUUCGGAUCGGAGU
rnacentral:rRNA from 1 species